UCCGGUUUGGCACCGGCAGUCCCCCGAGAGUCCUCGCCAUGACGCGUUAGUAACACGGGGCGGGGGUUGCGCUCGUUGCGGGACUUAACCCAACAUCUCACGACACGAGCUGACGACAGCCAUGCAGCACCUGUGCAGGUGUCCCGAAGGAGGCCCCGUGUUUCCACGGGGUUUCACCUGCAUGUCAAGCCCAGGUAAGGUUCUUCGCGUUGCGUCGAAUUAAACCACAUGCUCCACCGCUUGUGCGGGCCCCCGUCAAUUCCUUUGAGUUUCAGCCUUGCGGCCGUACUCCCCAGGCGGGGCACUUAAUGCGUUAGCGCCGGCACUCGGAGGGUCGCUCCCCCAAGCACCUAGUGCCCAUCGUUUACGGCGUGGACUAC
rnacentral:misc_RNA from 1 species